CCUACGGUGGGCAGCAGUGAGGAAUAUUGGUCAAUGGGCGCGAGCCUGAACCAGCCAAGUAGCGUGAAGGAUGACUGCCCUACGGGUUGUAAACUUCUUUUAUAAAGGCAUAAAGUGAGGCACGUGUGCCUUUUUGUAUGUACUUUAUGAAUAAGGAUCGGCUAACUCCGUGCCAGCAGCCGCGGUAAUACGGAGGAUACGAGCGUUAUCCGUAUUUAUUGGGUUUAAAGGGAGCGUAGAUGGGUUUUUAAGUCAGUUGUGAAAGUUUGCGGCUCAACCGUAAAAUUGCAAGUGAUACUGGCAGUCUUGAGUACAGUUGAGGUAGGCGGAAUGCGUGGUGUAGCGGUGAAAUGCUUAGAUAGCACGAAGAACUCCGAUUGCGAAGGCAGCUUACUAAACUGCCACUGACAUUGAUGCUCGAAAGUGUGGGUAUCAAACAGGAUUAGAUACCCGAGAAGUC
rnacentral:rRNA from 1 species